CCCCACCCCAGCUUCUGAUCCCAGAGACAGGCCUCCUGACAACCUCUUUCCCACCUCACAAACAAGGGCUGCAUACAGCAUAGCGGGUUGGCAGAGCCAACUGAAGCUUUAUUUUGAAAAAAAAAGAUACUCGAAUUGGAUUUAUUCUGAAAAAGACGCUUACAUUGGCUUUUAGGUGGGGUCAUGGGCGAAAGGGGCAACCCCAGGCAGUCGACUCCCCCCAGGUGUGGGCGGAGGACAGGGGCGAAACCUCAGGUCUCCUGUGCAGAUGCUCCCCUGCACAGCUCCAUCUGCAGGAGCCAAUGAGCCGGAGAGGCUGGGAGGGACCGCAGGAGCCUUUCACUUGGACAGGACAUCAGAGGACUCGGACACCAGCUUCCCAUCGCGGGUCUCAAUCUUCUUCACAACCACAGCCUUGGAACUGGUGCGGCUGAAGGAGCCGGGGCUCAGGCUGUAGUUGAAGCCAGGGGUCCCGUAGGACGAAGUCAGUCCACCUGGUCAGGAAAAGACAGCCACGUGAGUAUGGGAGGCUGUGCUCACAUCAGGUGCUUGCCGUUCCCCCUAUCUCCCUGACACUCCAGAAGUGGUCCUCAGGGAGGGGGAACUGCCCUGGUUCACUUCUCCAAGCUGACUGGGCGAAAACCAGGAGCAGGGUGGGACAGGGUCUUGCUAUUAGCUAUGUGACCUUGGGGAGAUGUUAGAGACUUGGGUUCGAGUCCUGGGUCAGGAAAACUCCCUGGAGGAGGGCGUAGCAACCCACUCCAGUAUUCUUGCCUGGAGAAUCCCACAGACAGAGAAGCCUGGUGGGCUACAGUCCGUAGGGUCACAAAGACUCGGACAUGACUGAGUGAGCACACAUACGCAUGCGUGUGACCUUGGACAGGACAUUUAGCUGGGCCCCAGCUUCCUCAGCUGUACCAGAGGGACCCGCAGAGGAGCUGCCCUCCGGCCCUUCCCCCAAGACACGGACACUCACCUGCGUAGCCACUGGUGGUCUUGGUGUGGAUACUCAUGUUCUGCAUCCCAGACUCCAGCCUGCUCUCCUCGCCCUCCAGCAGCUUCCUGUAGGUGGCAAUCUCCACGUCCAGGGCCAGCUUGACAUUCAUGAGCUCCUGGUACUCGCGCAGCUGCCGCGCCAUGUCCUGCUUGGCGUUCCUCAGAGCGGCCUCCAGCUCGGCCAGCUUGGCCUGAGCAUCCUUAACAGCCAUCUCACCACGCUGCUCAGCGUCAGCGAUGGCAGCCUCCAGGGAAGCCCUCUGUCGGGGGAGGGGACAAGCAAGCAGGUAAAGCAGAGGCCGGUUGCCUCCUCUCCUUCUCCGCCUGCACCCACUCUCUCUUUCCCCUCCUUUAGGGACCCCCUCUCCACAACCUGGACUAACCAACUCCACCCACCUUAUUCCAAGAAAAUGUUAGAGGGGACUUUCGUCAUGGUCCAGUGGUUAAAAAUCUGCCUUGCAACACAGGGAUUGAUCCCUGAUCAGGGAACUAAGAUCCCACAUGUCAGCUACUGAGCCCGUAUGCUCUGGAGCCCACGAGACACAGAGAGUGCACGUGUCAUAACUAAGACUCAAAGCAGCCAAAUAAAUAAUUUUUUUUUAAAAGGGAAGAAAAUGUU
ensembl:lncRNA